GAUGAAGAACGCAGCGAAAUGCGAUAAGUAAUGUGAAAUGCAGAAUUCAGUGAAUCAUCGAAUCUUUGAACGCACAUUGCGCCCGCCAGUAUUCUGGCGGGCAUGCCUGUUCGAGCGUCAUUACAACCCUCAGGCCCCCGGGCCUGGCGUUGGGGAUCGGCGGAGCCCCCCGUGGGCACACGCCGUCCCCCAAAUGCAGUGGCGGUCCCGCCGCAGCUUCCAUCGCGUAGUAGCUAACACCUCGCGACUGGAGAGCGGCGCGGCCACGCCGUAAAACACCCAACUCUUCUGAAGUUGACCUCGAAUCAGGUAGGAAUACCCGCUGAACUUAAGCAUAUCAAUAAGCGGAGGA
rnacentral:misc_RNA from 1 species